rnacentral:rRNA from 1 species
UACGGGGGGGGCAAGCGUUGUUCGGAAUUACUGGGCGUAAAGGGCUCGUAGGCGGCCAACUAAGUCAGACGUGAAAUCCCUCGGCUUAACCGGGGAACUGCGUCUGAUACUGGAUGGCUUGAAUCCGGGAGAGGGAUGCGGAAUUCCAGGUGUAGCGGUGAAAUGCGUAGAUAUUCGCAAGAACACCAGUGGCGAAGGCGGCUCACUGGCCCGGUACUGACGCUGAGGUGCGAAAGCGUGGGGAGCAAACAGG